GGCUCUUGAUCUUUUUUCUUUUAUUUUCUAGGGACUUCUUCAUUUUUGGAAUAACCUUACUAGGAGAUGUGCAGUAGAUGUGGUCAUGACCAACUGGCUGAAAUUUCCUUUUAGGUUUCUUGUUGGGAACAUCUGGGACUGCAUCGGUAGUGGCUGCUUUUCUCUUCAUGGGACAUUUUCGUGGGUUAGUUUUUUUUUUCAAGGUGUGGUGGAAAA